AAGAGCUAACUUUGUUGAAUGUUUUAGCAAUAUGAAUAUCCACCAAACUUAUAACCUGUGAAAGUUCUAAACAAUACCAUUAUGAAAACAAACUUAAGUAAAACUCUAACAUCUUUCUUAACUUGACAAAAAAAUUUCUUUCAUAUAGAAGAAGAUUGUAUUCUGCAUUCAAACUCCUUAAAGAGUGCCAGAGGUUUUUUUUUUUUUUUCAACAGUCGAACUGUGCUGUUGCCAGAGGUUUCUUAGUUUUGCAGUGAAAUUAAAUAUAAACUUGUAUAAUAUGAUAGGCUCCUUAUUCUUUU
rnacentral:lncRNA from 1 species